UACGUAGGGAGCAAGCGUUGUCCGGAAUCAUUGGGCGUAAAGCGCGCGUAGGCGGCCCCGUAAGUCCGCUGUGAAAGUCAAAGGCUCAACCUUUGAAAGCCGGUGGAUACUGUGGGGCUAGAGUCCGGAAGAGGCGAGUGGAAUUCCUGGUGUAGCGGUGGAAUGCGCAGAUAUCAGGAGGAACACCGGUGGCGAAGGCGCCACUCUGGGCCGGAACUGACGCUGAGACGCGAAAGCGUGGGGAGCGAACAGG
rnacentral:rRNA from 1 species